AGGUCUAAAAAACCACUAGUUGGGGGUCUCUUCCCCUCUAGUAGUUCCUCACAGUUUUGUGCAAAGUCGGGUCAACUUGGUUGGCUCUGCCUUGUGCUGUAGAUCUGGUUGUUGGCAUAGAGACCCUCCUUUUAGGAGACUUGUGCCACUACUAAGAUCUAGGCUGCUUGAAAAGAGACGUAUGGACCCUUCUUUCAGGAGACCUAUGUCUCGAGUCAAAGCAAGCAAGGCAAGCCUUUGGGGCUCUAGUACUAACUAUCCCCAAAGGUGUUUUUUCUUCUCGUGUAAACCAUGAUGUACGAAAAAGUUAGUUGUUAACUUAAAAACAACUCUUGGCAAUGGAUCUCUUGGUUCUCGCAUCGAUGAAGAGCGUAGCAAAGUGCGAAAAUUUUUGCGACUUGCAUUCAUAGCGAAUCAUCGAGUUCUCGAACGCAUCUUGCGCCUAGUAGUCAAUCUACUAGGCACAGUUGUUUCAGUAUCUGCAACUACCAAUCAGUUCAACUUGGUUCUUUGAACCUAAGCGAGCUGGAAAUGGGCUUGUGUUGAUGGCAUUCAGUUGCUGUCAUGGCCUUAAAUACAUUUAGUCCUAGGCAAUUGGCUUUAGUCAUUUGCCGGAUGUA
rnacentral:rRNA from 1 species